rnacentral:misc_RNA from 1 species
GCAUUGUCCAAGGAGAUGAGAAGGUUGAUAUGCUCAUGAAGUCGGAGAAGAAAUCCAAGAAUAGGAAAAAGAAUGCUGUCACUGAUGAUUCGGAAGUGACAAAGGGCGAUGUUAAAGCCGUUGAGCAUGAUUCAUGUUUCAAGGAAGAGAGUCUCUCUUUUACAGGGAUCAGGAAAGAAAGGGAUAAGACAAAGAUGGAAACUCAAGCACCUGGCGAAAGUGAAGGUAGUUACAUCAAGAUAAAGAAAGAAAGAGGUGGUGGUAAACAGCAUGGGAAAUACAGUAAAGACGGGUGCGAGGAUACUGUUAAUAAUGUUUUAAAAAAGAAAAAGAAGUUGAAGAAUGAGCAGGAUAUACUUAUAAUGCACGAUGCUAGUUUAGACACCAAAACACUUGCUCAUGAAAGUGCGAGCGGAACUCAUGAAACCAAGGCCGUGGAGACGCUCAGCGAGGGCUCUGGUGGAAAUCUUAUAGAUGAGGUGAAGAGGAAGAAAAAGAAAAAGAAAAAAGAUAAGAGGGGAAAAGAUGGACAGGUAGAUAUCGUGGUUGGUGUCAUUCAAGGUGUUGUUUCAGCUGACGAAGUGAAUA